rnacentral:rRNA from 1 species
AGCGAACGCUGGCGGCAGGCUUAACACAUGCAAGUCGAGCGGGCAUAGCAAUAUGUCAGCGGCAGACGGGUGAGUAACGCGUGGGAACGUACCUUUUGGUUCGGAACAACUGAGGGAAACUUCAGCUAAUACCGGAUAAGCCCUUACGGGGAAAGAUUUAUCGCCGAAAGAUCGGCCCGCGUCUGAUUAGCUGGUUGGUGAGGUAAUGGCACACCAAGGCGACGAUCAGUAGCUGGUCUGAGAGGAUGAUCAGCCACAUUGGGACUGAGACACGGCCCAAACUCCGACGGGAGGCAGCAGUGGGGAAUAUGGAACAAUGGGCGCAAGCCUGAUCCAGCCAUGCCGCGUGAGUGAUGAAGGCCCUAGGGUUGUAAAGCUCUUUUGUGCGGGAAGAUAAUGACGGUACCGCAAGAAUAAGCCCCGGCUAACUUCGUGCCAGCAGCCGCCGUAA